rnacentral:rRNA from 1 species
UACAGAGGGUGCGAGCGUUGUUCGGAAUUAUUGGGCGUAAAGGGCGCGUAGGCGGUGCGGUAAGUCACCUGUGAAAUCUCCUGGCUCAACUGGGAGCUUGCAGGCGAAACUGCCGUGCUGGAGUGCGGGAGAGGGAUGCGGAAUUCCAGGUGUAGCGGUGAAAUGCGUAGAUAUCUGGAGGAACACCGGUGGCGAAGGCGGCAUCCUGGACCGACACUGACGCUGAGGAGCGAAAGCCAGGGGAGCAAACGGG